CAUUCAUUGUCAGAUUGAAAAUUUCUUGAUUGAGUAAUUUUAUUAUAUUUUUUUGUGACUCGUGAAAUCAAAAUGUGCGGCACAAGCCCAGAAUAUAAUGCAUAUUUCACCGCAGGAUCUGCGAUAUUCGUUUCCUUUUUGAACAUAAUUCUGGAAAGCAUAAAACGAUCUGAACAGUGGUUUCUUGUGGUUCACAUUGUGAUCUGGUCUGGGUUAAUCCUAGUCGCCAUUGUUCUGAUCUUCGGAAUCUAUUAUGCAAGAAAAUAAGUUUCUUGUGAUGGUAUGGAUCGUGUUAAUGCUCGUGUUCGGAGUCGUUUUGAUCGCAUUACGCAUCCUAGAUCUAACGAAACUCUCUGAAAAUAAUGAAAUUAUUAGGACCUCAAUUAAAACUUUAUUCCACUGCGUGAUUUUUUCAGUUUGGCUUUGGGUAUCAAUUGUAUACUAUCUGACGCUCUGUGAUACCGAUUAUGAUUAGGAAUGAAAUUUUUGUAUUUAAUAAAGUAUGAAGUGCUCUUUCGUCUGA
rnacentral:misc_RNA from 1 species